rnacentral:rRNA from 1 species
AGGCAGUGGAAACUGAACAGCUAGAGGUCGGAAGGGGCAGAGGGAAUUCCCAGUGUAGCGGUGAAAUGCGUAGAUAUUGGGAAGAACACCGGUGGCGAAAGCGCUCUGCUGGGCCGAACCUGACGCUGAGGGACGAAAGCUAGGGGAGCGAAUGGGAUUAGAUACCCCAGUAGUCCUAGCCGUAAACGAUGGAGACUAGGUGUUGCCUGUAUCGACCCGGGCAGUGCCGAAGCCAACGCGUUAAGUCUCCCGCCUGGGGAGUACGCACGCAAGUGUGAAACUCAAAGGAAUUGACGGGGGCCCGCACAAGCGGUGGAGUAUGUGGUUUAAUUCGAUGCAACGCGAAGAACCUUACCAGGGCUUGACAUCCCGCGAAUCCCGGCGAAAGUUGGGAGUGCCUACGGGAGCGCGGAGACAGGUGGUGCAUGGCUGUCGUCAGCUCGUGUCGUGAGAUGUUGGGUUAAGUCCCGCAACGAGCGCAACCCUCGUCCUUAGUUGCCAGCCUUAAGUGGGGCACUCUAGGGAGACUGCCGGUGAUAAACCGGAGGAAGGUGGGGAUGACGUCAAGUCAUCAUGCCCCAUAUGUCCUGGGCGACACACGUACUACAAUGGUCGGGACAGCGAGCAGCCAACUCGCGAGAGUGAGCUAAUCUCUCAAACCCGGCCUCAGUUCAGAUUGCAGGCUGCAACUCGCCUGCAUGAAGGAGGAAUCGCUAGUAAUCGCAGGUCAGCAUACUGCGGUGAAUCCGUUCCCGGGCCUUGUACACACCGCCCGUCACACCAUGGAAGUCGGCCAUGCCCGAAGUCAUUACUCUAACCGUUCGCGGAGGAGGGUGCCGAAGGCAGGGCUGAUGACUGGGGUGAAGUCGUAACAAGGUAGCCGUACCGGAAGGUGUGGCUGGAUCACCU